CAAAGUGUUUUGGUAAGUGGUAAGUUCUAUGUUGUGUCUAGUCAUGAACUAUGUGGUGAGCAAUGUCGCACUGGAUACUGUAACAUCUGUAAAAUAUGUUUUCAUAAAUACAGAUGUGAGUAUCCAGAAAAUUCUGUCAAAACAGUACUUUGUAAACAUAUACAUGCUGUAGGCUAUAGCCAUUUUUGAGCAGAGGAGCGAGUUUGUUGUAGGUUCCCCAACUGUGAGUGAAGAGGAAGAGGAUAAAGUUUUGUUUGUUGAUCAACCCACAACUAGACAAAUCAAUUAUCAAGAGGAUGUAAACCAUUUUAUUUACGAGAGUUCAAAAAUGAAAGUCAAUAGUUCUGCAAUGGACUUUGAAGAAAAUCGAGAAAUUGCAUUGCAAGAAAUUUGUAGUUAUGGUAGAAGUUUAGAUAAAAAUGCAUUUGCCAGAUGUAUGGCUGUAAUCAACAAAUUUAAAAAUAAAGAAGUGGAGGAAGAAAAUACUCAGGGCAUUGAAAAGAAAAGAAAAAUUGAAAAACAAAUGUACUAUCCAAAUAAAAAAUAAGUUAGAUUUCUUUGUGUAUUUAAUGGCUAGAUAAUAUUUGAAUUGUAGCUAUUUUUUUAUGUUUGUAUAGCUGUGAAGUUAACAAAAAUAGGAUGUGGUAUUUUAUAUGGUAUUUUGUGUUAUAAUCAGUAUAAUAUAACUAAGUAUAUUUUUUGUAAGGUUUUGGUGCAGGUUUCAAAUUGUAAAUACAAAUUUUAUGUAAGAGGUCAUAUACAUAACUAGGUAUAGUUUUUGUAAGGCUUAAUUUGGUGUAGGUUUGAAAUUGUAAAAACAAAUUUUAAGACGUCAUAAUGGUUUAAAUAAUGGUGUUGGUUUCUGUAUAACUUUUUUUAUAUCUUUUAUUUUAAGACUAAAAUAUUAGCUUAUAGUAUGUUAAUAUUCAACUAAUCAUUUUCUAUUACAUUUUGUUUGCUAUGUUUUUAAUAUUUUUUAGGGUGCAGAAAAGCUAAUUGGAUUAACUUGAAAUUGACAUGGAACGAGGGGGAAGAUCCUGUGUGAGUAUAUAUUUAUUAAUUAAAAUGUAUACAGAGCAGUAAUUUUUUUUCAUGUUACUAUUGAAUGGAAGUUUGAAUGGUUUAAGCUGUAUAUACAUGAGCAGCAGAGAUGACAAAUAAGCUAAAGAACUGCGAGUCUACAUACUAUAUACCAGAUUAAUACAUUUAGCCUCUUUGCAUUUAAUUUUAUGGUUGUUUUAUUAAAAUAUUAAUUGUGAUAUUAAAAAUACCAUAAAUUAUUAUAUUUAAAUAACAAAUAAAUUUAUAGAUUUUUUAUUAUUUGAAAUAAACAAAGUUAAAAUAUAA